AUUUACUUCGUGUUUGUAUUUCGUUACUGAACGUCGAACGACGGUGUCGCGCGUCGGCUACAAGUGCGAACUUCAUUAAUUUUCUUCAACAAAAUAUAUUAGAUCUAUUACGUAAUAUAUUCAUAGGUGCACAGAUCAACCAGUGAAUGCAAUUGUUGUAAGCGAACAAUGGCUUUUAUUCAUCAAAACACGGAUUCGAAAUAGUUGCAUGUACUCCCGCAAUAUAUGGUUCUUAACGAUAUGGAAACAUAUUGCAUUUUUGAGUCGUCUUGACAGUAAGCAAUUAUUUUGACAUGAGUCUUGGACGGAUCAGCCAAGAGUAGACUAUCGCCGACCGACAUCCAGCACACACACGCAAACAAACACGUAAUAAUAUUAUUGUAAAUUUUUAUAAGGUGUGUCGUACCUCCCAAUCGCCUUCGUACUUCUAAAAAAAUAAUAUUAAAACGUAUCUAUUGUAAUAAUAUUAUACCUAAUAUAUUGUGUGAGAGUUUUUUUGUUUUAUUAUAUUAUAACACCGUAAAACACGAAUACGUUUUGUGAGCACCUACUGUUUAUUUGUUUUGAUUAUUAUGUAUAUCAUCAUAAGCGUCCUUCGAUUAAACUUAAUACCUAAUUAUAGUAAUAGCUCGGAUUUCAGCCGUAUAAUCUAACUAUUUACAAUAUGAUAUUACUAUGUCGUUGCUGAUUAAUUAUUAUUCCUUUAUAAUAGAGCCAGAAAACGAUAUUUUUACAUUUUAUCAAUUGUUGGGCCAAAAAUGAGUACUGUAAUAUUGUAUUGUGCAUCUUUCGGCAGUUUUAGUCCUGUAUAUUGUCAUUAUUAUUCUUUCGUUAUAAUCCAUAAUAUGUCGUGAUUAAUUUAUUUUUUUCAUUAUUUGAAUUAUACCUAUA